rnacentral:misc_RNA from 1 species
GAUGAAGAACGUAGCGAAAUGCGAUAAGUAAUGUGAAUUGCAGAAUUCAGUGAAUCAUCGAAUCUUUGAACGCACAUUGCGCCCGCCAGUAUUCUGGCGGGCAUGCCUGUUCGAGCGUCAUUUCAACCCUCAGGCCCCGCCUGGCGUUGGGGAUCGGCGCGGCCCUCUCCGGGCUGCCGGCCCCGAAAACUAGUGGUGGUCUCGCUGUAGUCCUCCUCUGCGCAGUAGCAACGCUCGCACUGGAACUCGGCGCGGCCACGCCGUAAAACACCCCACUUCUGAAAGUUGACCUCGGAUCAGGUAGGAAUACCCGCUGAACUUAAGCAUAUCAAUAAGCGGAGGA